GGAGAAAUCCGUGCCGCACAGCCAACGCCGCGCCGUCGCCGUCGACGGGCGGCCAACAGCCAGCCCGACCAUGUCGUCGGGUCGUGCAACUGCACGUUGCCAAUUCCUCGCCGUCGCGCGUUGUGCCACUGACGCCUCAUAGCCACGCCCUACACGGCCGCACUGCGUCGGCUAGAACCUCCGCUGCGCCAUGCUCCGCGGAUGCGACCGGGAGAGCCAGGCCAGGAGGUCGUGGCUUACGCCUCGCCUUGCGCGUGGACUGGGCCGCGCAGUGGUCACAAGACCUCGGCCGUGCGCCGGUCGCCUUCGCCGACGCGACGCGGUUGCUGCCACCACGCUCCGGUGGCUGACCAUGCAGCCUUGCUGCGCUGUUGUUGUCGCGUUGAGGGCGCUCCCUUGCGUUCAACGAGGCCAUCACUUGGAGCCACCACCCGAAGAAGUCGCCGUUGACGAUGCCGAAGACGGCCGUAGCUCUGUGCCUGAAGGUAACCGUCGGGUGCACACUUCACUUCUUUGUUCUUUGUCGAAGAAAUUUCUUUCCUUGGAUUAG
rnacentral:rRNA from 1 species